AUUGAACGCUGGCGGCGUGCUUAACACAUGCAAGUCGAGCGGUAACAGCGUAGCAAUACGUGCUGACGAGCGGCGAACGGGUGCGUAAUACAUGGGAAUCUGCCUAAGUAGUGGGGAAUAACCCGGCGAAAGCCGGGCUAAUGCCGCAUACGAUCCACGGAUGAAAGCGGGGGACCUUCGGGCCUCGCGCUAUUGGAUGAGCCCAU
rnacentral:rRNA from 1 species